AUUGAACGCUGGCGGCAGGCUUAACACAUGCAAGUCGAACGAGUGGCGGACGGGUGAGUAAUGCUUGGGAAUCUAGCUUAUGGAGGGGGAUAACUACUGGAAACUGUGGCUAAUACCGCGUACUCUCGGAUGAGCCCCAGUGGGAUUAGGUAGUUGGUGGGGUAACGUCUCACCAAGCCGACGAUCUCUAGCUGGUCUGAGAGGAUGACCAGCCACACUGGGACUGAGACACGGCCCAGACGCCUACGGGAGGCAGCAGUGGGGAAUAUUGGGCAAUGGAGGAAACCUGAUGGAGCCAUGCCGCGUGAAUGAAGAAGGCCUUCGGGUUUUAAAGUUCUUUCGGUAGGGAGGCGUUACCGACAGAAGAAGCACCGGCUAACUCCGUGCCAGCAGCCGCGGUAAUAC
rnacentral:rRNA from 1 species